CGGCGUUCUCGCCGGAUGUAGGAACCGACCCGGGGACCGCCGGGGGCAACCCGGCGCCCCCGAGACGGGGCGAACCACGGUGAAAUGACGGAUCGUCGGCCCCGCGCCGGCGACUCGCCGAAUGAGUUUCUGACCUAUCAACUCGAGACGGCGGGGUAGAGGCCCGCCGCGGUAACGACGGGUAACGGGGAAUCAGGGUUCGAUUCCGGAGAGGGAGCCCGAGAAACGGCUACCACUUCCAAGGAAGGCAGCAGGCGCGCAACUUACCCUAAUCUCGAUUCGAGGAGGUAGUGACAAGAAAUACCGAUGCGGGACCCUACGGGUGCCGCGUUCGGAAUGAGUACGAUUCGAACCACCUAACGAGGAACGAUCGGAGGGCAAGUCUGGUGCCAGCAGCCGCGGUAAUUCCAGC
rnacentral:rRNA from 1 species